rnacentral:rRNA from 1 species
UUUUAUGGAGAGUUUGAUCCUGGCUCAGGAUGAACGCUGGCGGCGUGCCUAAUACAUGCAAGUCGAGCGAACGGACGAGAAGCUUGCUUCUCUGAUGUUAGCGGCGGACGGGUGAGUAACACGUGGAUAACCUACCUAUAAGACUGGGAUAACUUCGGGAAACCGGAGCUAAUACCGGAUAAUAUUUUGAACCGCAUGGUUCAAAAGUGAAAGACGGUCUUGCUGUCACUUAUAGAUGGAUCCGCGCUGCAUUAGCUAGUUGGUAAGGUAACGGCUUACCAAGGCAACGAUGCAUAGCCGACCUGAGAGGGUGAUCGGCCACACUGGAACUGAGACACGGUCCAGACUCCUACGGGAGGCAGCAGUAGGGAAUCUUCCGCAAUGGGCGAAAGCCUGACGGAGCAACGCCGCGUGAGUGAUGAAGGUCUUCGGAUCGUAAAACUCUGUUAUUAGGGAAGAACAU